GUAGAAACUGGUUUGAAAUUUACUACCAUUUUAUUAUGACUGUAAUAAAAAUAAUAGCCAAAGUGUAAUAGUGCUGAGCACCAGGCCUCAUGCAAAACUCUUUACCUCCACCAUUUAAUUCUCAAAUCAAACCUUUGAGGUGGAUCCUGUUAUUACGGUGGGGAGAUCUGUGGAGUUCCAGCAAGGGGUUGAGGCACUCAGAAGGCUUAGCAUAAGCUACUUACCAAAUAGUUUAGAAAUUUUUCUAUCUCUACCAACGUGUACCAACUGACUGUCAGCCAUGGAAGCAUUCUGAAUAAUUGUUAAUUGUUCUCGUUGUUUUAUAAUUGUUGCUCUAGCUACAUUUCACUUACAGGAUCCGAUUUUCCAGGAAGUCAUCCAAAGGGCAGCAUUGUUAUUGCCAAGAGCAAGAAGGGGUGACCUUGAGAUAAUCAUUUUACCCAUCUGGGCCUCAGUUUUCUCAUUUGUAAAAUAAAAGGGUUGGACUAGUUACCAAUGGCCCCCCAGUUUGAAGGUCACCUAACCUGAACAUGCCCAGAUGAACCGAGUCUGCAACUACAGCGGGAACCUAAGUGCUCUGACUGAGGAGUGAGGACUGAAUUAAGAAGGGGACACCACAUUGUAGGAUCCAGGAUCUAAUCGUAUCAAGCUUGGCAUCACCCCAUGGCAGGAUCCAAUCAAAUCAUACCUCCCAGCAUCACCUCAUUGCAAGAUCCAAUCAGAUCACAUCUCAUGACUUUAUGCUUAUAAAACCUGGCCCAGGCCAGGCGCUGUGGCUCACACCUAUAAUCCCAGCACUUUGGGAGGCCGAUGUGGGCAGAUUACUUGAGGACAGGAGUUCAAGACCAGCCUGGCCAACAUGGUGAAACUCUGUCUCUACUAAAAAAAUACAAAAAUUAGCUGGGCGUGGUAGUGGGCACCUUUAAUCUCAGCUACUUGGAAGGCUCAGGCAGGAGAAUCAUUUGAACCCAGGAGAAGGAGGUUGCAGUGAGCCGAGAUUAUGCUACUGCACUCCAGCCUGGGCAACAGAGCAAGACUCCAUCUCAGAAAGAAAGAGAGAAAGAGAGAGAGCGAGAGACGAAAAGAAAAGAAAAGAAAAAGAAAACAAGCCCUGCACAGGGAGACAGAGUUGAGCAUAUCUUCCUGUCUCCUUGCGGUUGACUUGCAAUAAAGCUUUUAUUUUCUCAAAAGCCAGUGCCAUGGUAUUGGCCAUUGGCCUCUAUGCACAUUAAACAGUGCUCAGUUACAAUCUGACCUUGGGCAAGUUACUUAACCUCUCUGAGCUCUGGUUUUUCCAUCUAUAAGAAGGGAUGAUGUCCCCUAGCUCAUGGGGUUGUAUAAAAUAAAUGACUCAACAUACAAAAAGCACUUAGUACAAUUCUUGACAUAUAGUAAAUGUUGUAUACAUUGCAGCCCUAUUAAAUGAUGUUUAUUCAUAGCUAAACCAUUUUUAUGCAUUAGGAUAGAUCCUGUUCUCCUUUACCAUUCAUUUAAUUCAGACCAUCGACCUGUAUUUUAUCAUCUCAUAUAAUUUUAACGUAUACCUAUAUUAGUGUGUGGCCAGCACCCACCUUUCCUAUAGGAACUACUGCUCUCAUGCCCACAUUUUUAUUAUGAUGGCAGCGAGAGCUGUGUGACCGCUGUCCAUUGCCCACACCUAAUUGGUCAAGAGGGGGACACCUGACCCAAGAUGGGACAAUGAACCCAUUCCUCCAGAAUGUUUAUAGAUGUG
rnacentral:lncRNA from 1 species